AAUGAACGUUGGCGGCAUGGAUUAGGCAUGCAAGUCGAGCGAGAAGUGUAGCAAUACACGGAAAGCGGCGGAAGGGAGAGUAAUACGUGGGAAUCUGCCCUUAGACCUGGGAUAGCAGCGGGAAACUGCUGGUAAUACCAGAUAAUGUCUAUGGACCAAAGGUGUGAUUCCGUCUAGGGAUGAGCCCACGUCCUAUUAGCUAGUUGGUAGGGUAAUGGCCUACCAAGGCGAUGAUGGGUAGCGGGUGUGAGAGCAUGACCCGCAUUACUGGGACUGAGACACUGCCCAGACACCUACGGGUGGCUGCAGUCGAGAAUCUUCGGCAAUGGGCGAAAGCCUGACCGAGCGACGCCGCGUGCGGGAUGAAGGCCCUCGGGUUGUAAACCGCUGUCAGAGGGGAGGAAAUUCCAGGGAGUUCUCUCUUUGGUUUGACCUAUCCUCAGAGGAAGUACGGGCUAAGUUCGUGCCAGCCGCCGCGGUAAAAC
rnacentral:rRNA from 1 species